UAUCACCGACCCAACCAGUUGUCCCAUGCCGGGGCACGGCUCCAAAGCUAUCGCCUCUGGCUCUCCUGAUGU
rnacentral:sRNA from 1 species